rnacentral:rRNA from 1 species
UACGGGGGGGGCAAGCGUUGUUCGGAAUUACUGGGCGUAAAGGGCUCGUAGGCGGCCAACUAAGUCAGACGUGAAAUCCCCAGGCUCAACCUGGGAACUGCGUCUGGUACUGGAUGGCUUGAAUCCGGGAGAGGGAUGCAGAAUUCCAGGUGUAGCGGUGAAAUGCGUAGAUAUCUGGAGGAAUACCGGUGGCGAAGGCGGCAUCCUGGACCGGCAUUGACGCUGAGGAGCGAAAGCUAGGGGAGCAAACGGG